UGCGCCCGCCGGCGGCCGGGGCUGCUGCCGCCACUCCUGCAGUGCCCCCACUGGGGGCGCCAGCCUCGCCCCCGGAUGGCUCGGCCAGGCGCGAGCCCGCAGGCUCCAAAGCUUGCAGAAAUGGCUGUGGUUCAAAGCUCAGGAGAGCAGACUCCAUAGAGGAAAGCGGGCCCACAAUGGGAGAAGAGGCGCUUUCUGCAGUGCGUGUCUAGCGUCCUGGCUGGAGACACAGGUCAUCUUCAAAGGCUGCAUGCAACUGUACUGAGGCUCACAUGAAAACAGAAACAGCAACAACAACAACAAAAACCUGCAGCAUCGAAGAACCAAACAUUAUGCCAGAAAAGACCUUUCUCCCCCCAAAAUAACACCCAUAAAUUUGGGUUUUUAGAUCAUAGACAUAACUUGUUGAGUACCACCAUUAAUUUCAGAACAGUUUACACAGCUUUAUGAAUUUCUUUAAAAAUAUAGAAACAAAAUCCUGGGACGUAGGGAUUCAGUUGGAACAGCCAGCUAUACAAAGGCUCUAGCUUAUCCUAGGAUUUAUGUAACCGAAGACAUAUCCAGAAUGGCCUUUCUGAAACACAAGUCAGAAUCCUUCCCAUCCCAGUGUAAAAAACCCUGAGUGCUGUGUCUUUCUUUGCCCCUCCCUGACAUUUCACUUGGGCUCUUUACUUCUUUGAGUCCAUAAACUCAUCUCUUGCUUCUUGUACUCUGCACACUCCCCUCUCUCCAUUUCUAGUGUUCUUCCUUGCCCUCCUUCAUUGAAAUACUAUAUAUUUCUGGUAACUGCUUCUCCGUGAACCUGGGCUAGAUUUGAUGGGCUCUCAUUCACUCAGAGUGUGACUGUGAUUGCCUGGGUACUUUCUUGUCUCCUUCUAGAUUGUGAGUUGAUUGAUAACUGGAUCUCAGGCCUCCGUCUCCAAGUGCAGACUGGACCUAACACAUACUAGGAAUUCAAUAUAUAUUUACUGCUAAAUGAGAACAAGUGGUCCUAACUUUCAUAUGACAUUUCUCUGCACUUUUGGAGUCACUACCAAAUUUCUUAGUAUGCUAAUUGCAAUGAAAAUUCUGUUGAAAGACAAAAAGCCCAUGGUGCUUCCAACUGCACUAUAUUAAAAACAUUUUUCCUCUUCAAAAAUGGGUGUUAUAUCUAUCUCAUUUGAAUGAAAUGUCAUAGCUUAUAAAACACAUUUUCAGAUUUCAUAUCACAUGUCAGUCAAACAAGUUAGGCCAGGGCAUACAUUAAUAUCUUCAUUUUGUAGCUGACAACACAGACCUAGUUAGAUCAACUGACUUGCCCAAAGUCACCCUUGCAAACGCUCAGAGGUAAAGCAAACACCAUCUGACUCAAAACCAACAGAGUCUGGACUACUCCAGUUUAGAUCUCAAAUUGUCUAUUGCAAACCUACUUAGGAGUAUGAGGCUAAGGGGUCAGCUGAUCUGGGCUGAGCAUGGAAUAUGCAGUAGCAGACACCUAACAACUGAAAGUAGAACUGAUGCUCCUGUACCUAACUGACAUACCACCUUUCCUUCUGUAAGAACCCAAGUGACAAGAAAAAAGCAAAUCACC
rnacentral:lncRNA from 1 species